rnacentral:tRNA from 1 species
UUUGGCUUAACUCAGUGGUAGAGUAUUGUACUUAUGGGAAGCUUUACCUGCGCUUCAGGCAUGAAAUGCAGUGGUCGCCAGUUCGACCCUGGCAGGGGGAA